GAUGAACGCUGGCGGCGUGCCUAAUACAUGCAAGUCGAGCGAACGGACGAGAAGCUUGCUUUUCUGAUGUUAGCGGCGGACGGGUGAGUAACACGUGGAUAACCUACCUAUAAGACUGGGAUAACUUCGGGAAACCGGAGCUAAUACCGGAUAAUAUUUUGAACCGCAUGGUUCAAAAGUGAAAGACGGUCUUGCUGUCACUUAUAGAUGGAUCCGCGCUGCAUUAGCUAGUUGGUAAGGUAACGGCUUACCAAGGCAACGAUGCAUAGCCGACCUGAGAGGGUGAUCGGCCACACUGGAACUGAGACACGGUCCAGACUCCUACGGGAGGCAGCAGUAGGGAAUCUUCCGCAAUGGGCGAAAGCCUGAUGGAGCAACGCCGCGUGAGUGAUGAAGGUCUUCGGAUCGUAAAACUCUGUUAUUAGGGAAGAACAUAUGUGUAAGUAACUGUGCACAUCUUGACGGUACCUAAUCAGAAAGCCACGGCUAACUACGUG
rnacentral:rRNA from 1 species